UACGGGGGGCAAGCGUUGUCCGGAAUUAUUGGGCGUAAAGAGCUCGUAGGCGGUUUGUUGCGUCGGCUGUGAAAUCCCGAGGCUCAACCUCGGGUCUGCAGUCGAUACGAGCAAACUAGAGUGUUUGCAGGGGAGACUGGAAUUCCUGGUGUAGCGGUGAAAUGCGCAGAUAUCAGGAGGAACACCGGUGGCGAAGGUGGGUCUCUGGGCAACAACUGACGCUGAGGAGCGAAAGCGUGGGGAGCGAACAGG
rnacentral:rRNA from 1 species